rnacentral:rRNA from 1 species
UACGAAGGGUGCAAGCGUUGCUCGGAAUUAUUGGGCGUAAAGGGUAGGUAGGUGGUCUCGUUUGUCCGGGGUGAAAGCCUUGAGCUUAACUCAAGAAGUGCCUCGGAAACGGCGAGACUGGAGUAUUGGAGAGGGUCGUGGAAUUCCCGGUGUAGCGGUGAAAUGCGUAGAGAUCGGGAGGAACACCAGUGGCGAAGGCGGCUCACUGGACCGGUUCUGACGCUGAGGCGCGAAAGCGUGGGGAGCAAACGGG